CGAUGAAUCUGCAUGCAGAAGGCUGGUGCCUUGUCGCAAGUGCCCGCAGCAUCGGUGGCGGUGCAUUGUCCGGCAACCCUUUGGCACCAANAAUUGCAGGUGAUAUUGGCGGUGCCCCCGCAAGCUUCGUUGAGAUUCGCCGCCCCGGAUUCACCGGGCAUGAUCGCCACGCCGAGCAUGGCGAUCAUGGUUGCAACAAUCAGACGCAUGAGGCGCAUUCGCUUCGAUCCCCCAGGCAAAGUCUGCGAUUAAUACCUCAGGCGCUCUUUUUAUUUUGCCGGUUGUGCACGAGAUCGUCGACCACAUCGGCCAGCGUCGAAGUGUCGCCGAGCGAGCCGGAUUCGUCUUCCGCGAUCUUGCGCAGGAUGCGGCGCAUGAUCUUGCCCGAGCGCGUUUUCGGCAGGC
rnacentral:misc_RNA from 1 species